rnacentral:rRNA from 1 species
AUGAACGCUGGCGGCGUGCCUAAUACAUGCCAGUCGAGCGAACGGACGAGAAGCUUGCUUCUCUGAUGUUAGCGGCGGACGGGUGAGUAACACGUGGAUAACCUACCUAUAAGACUGGGAUAACUUCGGGAAACCGGAGCUAAUACCGGAUAAUAUUUUGAACCGCAUGGUUCAAAAGUGAAAGACGGUCUUGCUGUCACUUAUAGAUGGAUCCGCGCUGCAUUAGCUAGUUGGUAAGGUAACGGCUUACCAAGGCAACGAUGCAUAGCCGACCUGAGAGGGGGACGGGCAACACGGGAACGAGAACACGGGCCAGAAUCCUACGGGAGGCAGCAGUAGGGAAUGUUCGGAAAGGGGAGAAAGCCUGACGGAACAACGCCGGGGGGGUGAUGAAGGUCUUCGGAUCGAAAAACCCUGUUAUGAGGGAAAAAAAUAUGUGUAAGUAACGGGGAAAAUUUUGACGGUACCAAAAAAGAAAACCACGGCUAACUACGU